rnacentral:rRNA from 1 species
CUGCCUUGGGGUCUGGGAUAGCUGCGGGAAACUGCAGGUAACACCGGAUACGCACGAGAGUGGAAAGUUUACGCCCUGGGAUGGGCCCGCGUCGGAUUAGGUAGUUGGUGGGGUAACGGCCUACCAAGCCUGCGAUCCGUAACCGGUCUGAGAGGAUGAUCGGUCACACUGGGACUGAGACACGGCCCAGACUCCUACGGGAGGCAGCAGUGGGGAAUCUUGGACAAUGGGGGCAACCCUGAUCCAGCGACGCCGCGUGGGUGAUGAAGGCCUUCGGGUCGUAAAGCCCUUUGCCGGGGACGAUGAUGACGGUACCCGGAGAAGAAGCACCGGCUAACUCUGUGCCAGCAGCCGCGGUAAGACAGAGGGUGCUAGCGUUGUUCGGAAUUACUGGGCGUAAAGGGCGCGUAGGCGGCUCGUUUAGUCGGGUGUGAAAUCCCGGGGCUCAACCCCGGAACUGCAUUCGAUACUGGCGGGCUAGAGACCGAGAGAGGUGGGUGGAAUACCCAGUGUAGAGGUGAAAUUCGUAGAUAUUGGGUGGAACACCGGUGGCGAAGGCGGCUCACUGGCUCGGUUCUGACGCUGAGGCGCGAAAGCGU